GUUUUAAUAAUUUAAUAUAAAAUUUUGGUCUUGUAAAUCAAACAUAGGCUACACCUUUAAAACU
rnacentral:tRNA from 1 species